rnacentral:rRNA from 1 species
ACGUUAGCGGCGGACGGGUGAGUAACACGUGGGUAACCUACCUAUAAGACUGGGACAACUUCGGGAAACCGGAGCUAAUACCGGAUAAGAUAUCGAACCGCAUGGUUCGAUAGUUAAAGAUGGUUUUGCUAUCACUUAUAGAUGGACCCGCGCCGUAUUAGCUAGUUGGUGAGGUAACGGCUCACCAAGGCAACGAUACGUAGCCGACCUGAGAGGGUGAUCGGCCACACUGGAACUGAGACACGGUCCAGACUCCUACGGGAGGCAGCAGAA